CUAAAACACAGACCAAACCAUAUAUGUAGAAACCUACACAUGAUGCUGAUAAAACACUUCCCUCAAUGUCCAGAUAUUAUGUCCAUGGCAGUGUGCACAUUGCUGCAGGAAGUCAUUCUCCACCAAAGCAGGAAGCUCAUAACAUGACAAUGCCGCCGUGCACAAAGCCAGC